rnacentral:rRNA from 1 species
UGCCAGCCGCCGCGGUAAUACGUAUGGUGCAAACGUUGUUCGGAACCACUGGGCAUAAAGAGCACGUAGGCGGCAGGGUAAGUCUGGUUGUGAAAUCCCUCGGCUCAACCGAGGAACUGCACCGGAUACUGCCUUGCUCGAGUUCGGUAGGGGAGAGUGGAAUUCCUGGUGGAGCGGUGAAAUGCGUAGAUAUCAGGAGGAACGCCGGUGGCGAAAGCGACACUCUGGACCGAAACUGACGCUCAGGUGCGAAAGCCAGGGGAGCAAACGGGAUUAGAUA